UACGUAGGGUGCGAGCGUUAAUCGGAAUUACUGGGCGUAAAGCGUGCGCAGGCGGUUUUGUAAGCCAGAUGUGAAAUCCCCGGGCUUAACCUGGGAACUGCACUUGUGACUGCACAGCUGGAGUACGGCAGAGGGGGAUGGAAUUCCGCGUGUAGCAGUGAAAUGCGUAGAUAUGCGGAGGAACACCGAUGGCGAAGGCAGUCCCCUGGGCCUGUACUGACGCUCAUGCACGAAAGCGUGGGGAGCAAACAGG
rnacentral:rRNA from 1 species